CAAUAGCGUAUAUUAAAGCUGUUGCGGUUAAAAAGCUCGUAGUUGGAUUUCUGUCAAGGACAACUGGUCCGCCCUUCGGGUGAGCACAUAGUUUGGUCUUGGCAUCUUGUUGGAAACUGUUGCUGCACUUGGUUGUGUGGCGCAGCGUCCAGCACUUUCACUUUGAGGAAAUUGGAGUGUUUCAAGCAGGCACAUGCCUUUGGACACAGUAGCAUGGAAUAAUUAGAUUGGGCUUUUGCUCCAACUUGUCGGUUUCUGGAGCUGAGGUGAGAAUUAAUGGGGAUUGUUGGGGGCAUCCGAAUUUAGCCGUCAGAGGUGAAAUUCUUGGAUCUGCUAAAGACGGACAACUGCGAAAGUGUUUGCCCAGGAUGUUUUCAUUGA
rnacentral:rRNA from 1 species